rnacentral:lncRNA from 1 species
AAGAAGUUGUUCGUCAAUCCGGUAAACUCGUUUCAACUCUUACGUGCUAAUAGUAUUUUUUUGUGUUUUUAGUUUGCUUAAUUCUAAUUAUUAUGGCACUUUCGUUGAAAAAUAUGUUCGGUAAAGGAAAAGGUAAAAUCGGUGAAGUAGUGGCCAAAAAACUCCCCCGCCCCCGGCUCCCCGACCUAGAAAAGAUAAGCAAGUUCAAAGUAGUAGCCAACCUUGAAAUCCAAUGAACCCUUCGGAAUCCUUGAUAGUGAUCACCCUUGUUUUCAAUUUAGCGAUAUUGAUUNNN